CAGUGGGGUGUGGUGAUGGCUGAGCAGGAGGUGGGACUGGUCUUUAUUUCACAGUUCUAUUUACUUGGCCAAGAUAGCUGCUUGAAGAGCUAUUCAUGGGCAGUCAUUAAGAACAGCUUUUAUGAAGAUGUCGUGAGGAUUGGGGGAAGACUGGAGAAGAGUUUUGAGACUUUCAAUAAUCUUCCAUUGAUUUUUAGCACCUCUUUGUUUCUACCAUGACUAUGUUAUCUCAAAAAGAAGAGAAAGAUUCUGGAAGAAUGAAGAACGUUGGGAAUGCCAUCAUUAAGGUUUGCUUUUAUGGACUUUCCUUAUUAAUUCACUUUCCCAAGACCUAUAUUUCCCCAUGAGUUGACUGACUGAUGGAGACAAGGGAUUUUUGUCCUCCUACCCUAGAGGCCUUAUUAUAGGUUGAAUUAUGCUCCCCUUACAAAUUCAUAGGUUGAAGUCCUAACUCCCUAUACCUCAAAAUGUGACCUUACUUGGAAAUCAGAUUAUCGUGGAUGUAAUUAGUUAAAAUGAGGUAUUAGAGUGAACCCCAAUUCAAUAUACUGGCAUCCUUAUAAAAAAGGAAAAUUUGCACCCAGAGACACCCAUGGAGUGAAGGUUAUGUGAAGAGACAUGGAGAAGACAGUCGUCUACAAGCCAAGGAGAAAGGCCUGGAACGCCUCCUUCCCUCAGAGCCCCCAGAAGGAACAAUCCUGCCAACACCUUGAUUUUGGUUUUCUAGCUUCCAGCAUUGUGGGUCAAUAAAUUUCUGUCAUAUAAGCCACCCAGUUUGUGGAACUUUGUCAUAUAAGCCCUAGCAAAUUAACAUUGUCCUCUACAUAUGUAACUUCAACAAGUAUACACGAUAAGAUACCAAGCUUGGCCAGGGGACAAGGAACUUAUAUAAAAAUCAUUACCUCACCUCUAAUUUGUUGUGAAGUUUGGGCUAGGCCCUUUUGAUUUGUCUUUACUGAUGCUUUUUAGAACUCAAGAGGCAGCUUUCAGAUGCAUUAGCGACCCUGGUGAAAACUGAGUCAUGCCAAACACAUACUCCUUAAAGAAAGUUGACUACACCAAUUCAGGGGACAAAGAGAGAGACAGAAAUUUAGAUAAUGCUGAGAGUUAGCCCACCACCCUACUCAAUAGGUUUAUGCCUCAGAAUGAGUAUGAGCUGAGAGGCAGAAAUCUGUGGCUCCAAUCUGCUGUUUUCUCCUGGUCUCAGUUCUCAUGUGCCUUCAUGCAAGAGCAUCUUUCUGUGGCAAGAGUGGUUCCUGUCUAUAAAGAUGCCAUCUUAGUCCAUUUGUGUUACUAUAAAGGAAUACCUGAGGCUGAGUAAUUUAUAAAGAAGAUAUUUAUUUGGCUCUUGGUUUUGCAGGCUGUAUAAGAAGCAUGGCACCAGCAUCUGCUUCUGGUGAGGGCCUCAGGAAAUUUCCACUCACGGUAGAAGGCAAAGGGGAGCUGGCAUGUGCAGAGAUUACAUGGCAACAGAGGAAGCAAGAAAGGGGAGGGAGGUGCCAGGCUCUUUUUU
rnacentral:lncRNA from 1 species